rnacentral:rRNA from 1 species
GAUGAACGCUGGCGGCGUGCCUAAUACAUGCAAGUCGAGCGAAUGGAUUGAGAGCUUGCUCUUAUGAAGUUAGCGGCGGACGGGUGAGUAACACGUGGGUAACCUGCCCAUAAGACUGGGAUAACUCCGGGAAACCGGGGCUAAUACCGGAUAACAUUUUGAACCGCAUGGUUCGAAAUUGAAAGGCAGCUUCGGCUGUCACUUAUGGAUGGACCCGCGUCGCAUUAGCUAGUUGGUGAGGUAACGGCUCACCAAGGCAACGAUGCGUAGCCGACCUGAGAGGGUGAUCGGCCACACUGGGACUGAGACACGGGCCAGACUCCUACGGGAGGCAGCAGUAGGGAAUCUUCCGCAAUGGACGAAAGUCUGACGGAGCAACGCCGCGUGAGUGAGGAAGGCUUUCGGGUCGUAAAACUCUGUUGUUAGGGAAGAACAAGUGCUAGUUGAAUAAGCUGGCACCUUGACGGUACCUAACCAGAAAGCCACGGCUAACUACGUGCCAGCCGCCGCGGUAA